CAGUGCGCACCUGCUGCUGCUGUUUCACGUCUGGAGACUCAACAUGAUGGACGGAGAUGUAAUGCAACAUUUUCGCUGUUGUUGUUGGUUCGUGUUACUUGUCGUGUCCCGAUGCUCUUGGACAUUUUCAAUCGGGACUAUUAAUAAUUGACGCACGUGAAUAUUGACAGAGAAAAAAGAAGCAGAGCCUUGCUGAGGAGACUGAGGAGCCUACCGUUAAAGAACCAGAGCCAAAGGUGCAAGCAGAGCCACAGCAGACCUCCCCCUCUCCACCUCCAAGUCCUGAACCAGUUAAGAUCUGUGAGCCUGAGC